AACGUACGCUGGCGGCACGCCUAACACAUGCAAGUCGAACGAAGUAGCAAUACUUAGUGGCAGACGGGUGAGUAACAUGUGGGUAUCUGCCCUUUGGCCUGGAAUAACACGAGGAAACUUGUGCUAAUACCGGAUAAGUCUUUACGGAGAAAGCUUUAUGCACCAUUGGAUGAGCCUGCACUUGAUUAGUUUGUUGGUGGGGUAAUGGCCUACCAAGACUGUGAUCAAUAGCUGAUUUGAGAGGAUGAUCAGCCACAUUGGGACUGAGACACGGCCCAAACUCCUACGGGAGGCAGCAGUGGGGAAUCUUGCACAAUGGAGGAAACUCUGAUGCAGCGAUGCCGCGUGAGUGAAGAAGGCCCUUGGGUUGUAAAGCUCUUUCGUCGGGGAAGAAAAUGACUGUACCCGAAUAAGAAGGUCCGGCUAACUUCGUGCCAGCAGCCGCGGUAAUACGAAGGGACCUAGCGUAGUUCGGAAUUACUGGGCUUAAAGAGUUCGUAGGUGGUUGAAAAAGUUAGUGGUGAAAUCCCAGAGCUUAACUCUGGAACUGCCAUUAAAACUUUUCAGCUAGAGUAUGAUAGAGGAAAGCAGAAUUUCUAGUGUAGAGGUGAAAUUCGUAGAUAUUAGAAAGAAUACCAAUUGCGAAGGCAGCUUUCUGGAUCAUUACUGACACUGAGGAACGAAAGCAUGGGUAGCGAAGAGGAUUAGAUACCCUCGUAGUCCAUGCCGUAAACGAUGUGUGUUAGACGUUGGAAAUUUAUUUUCAGUGUCGCAGGGAAACCGAUAAACACACCGCCUGGGGAGUACGACCGCAAGGUUAAAACUCAAAUGAAUUGACGGGGACCCGCACAAGUAGUGGAGCAUGUGGUUUAAUUCGAAGAUACGCGCAGAACCUUACCAACACUUGACAUGUUCGUCGCGACUCUAAGAGAUUAGAGUUUUCGGUUCGGCCGGACGAAACACAGGUGCUGCAUGGCUGUCGUCAGCUCGUGUCGUGAGAUGUUGGGUUAAGUCCCGCAACGAGCGCAACCCUCACUUUUAGUUGCCAUCAUUAAGUUGGGCACUCUGAAAGAACUGCCAGUGAUAAGCUGGAGGAAGGUGGGGAUGACGUCAAGUCCUCAUGGCCCUUACGUGUUGGGCUACACACGUGCUACAAUGGUAUCUACAACAGGAAGCAAGACUGCGAAGUUAAGCAAAUCCCUAAAAGAUACCUCAGUUCGGAUUGCACUCUGCAACUCGAGUGCAUGAAGCUGGAAUUACUAGUAAUCGUGGAUCAGCGUGCCACGGUGAAUGCGUUCCCGGGUCU
rnacentral:rRNA from 1 species